rnacentral:lncRNA from 1 species
UUGGCUUUUAUUUGCAAAGCUGCUUUACCAUUGAUUCAGUAACCUCAUUUCCAACUCUUUAAAUAGAGCAACUACCCACACCACCUCUGAGACUGCAUUGAUCAUGCUUCUCUAUUCAGCCUUUGCUAAACUUCUGGACCAUACUUUGGUUCUUGCACUUCCAUGACAACAAAAGGUCAUCAUGCUUGAUUAAGAAUUAUCACAUUGAUCUCCUGGUAUUGGGG